rfam:Myotis lucifugus cont2.29056, whole genome shotgun sequence.
GGCGGUUCUCAGGUGACGCACCCCGGAAUUGGGCUCCCUCCUCUCUGGUUCCGGGAUGCAUCACCCAAGAACUGCC